rnacentral:rRNA from 1 species
UACGAAGGGGGCUAGCGUUGUUCGGAUUUACUGGGCGUAAAGCGCACGUAGGCGGAUUGUUAAGUUAGAGGUGAAAUCCCAGGGCUCAACUCUGGAACUGCCUUUGAUACUGGCAAUCUUGAGUCCGAGAGAGGUGAGUGGAAUUCCUAGUGUAGAGGUGGAAUUCGUAGAUAUUAGGAAGAACACCAGUGGCGAAGGCGGCUCACUGGCUCGGUACUGACGCUGAGGUGCGAAAGCGUGGGGAGCAAAC